ensembl:miRNA microRNA 16-1
UCUUGCUUUAGCAGCAUGUAAAUAUUGGAGUUACUCCUUGGCAAAUGCCUCCAAUAUUGCUCAUGCUGCUGAAGCAAGA